rfam:Cavia porcellus supercont2_0 genomic scaffold, whole genome shotgun sequence.
GUGUGCCUGCUUCGGCAACACAUAUACUAAAAUUGGAAUGAUACAGAGAUUAGCACAGUGCUGCGCAUGGAUGACAUACAAAUUUGUGAAGCAUUCCAUAUUAUU